CUACGGGUCGCACCAGUGAGGAAUAUUGCACAAUGGGGGGAACCCUGAUGCAGCAACGCCGCGUGGAGGAUGACGCAUUUCGGUGUGUAAACUCCUUUUAUAUGUCAAGAAAAUGACGGUAGCAUAUGAAUAAGCGCCGGCUAACUCCGUGCCAGCAGCCGCGGUAAUACGGAGGGCGCAAGCGUUACUCGGAAUCACUGGGCGUAAAGGACGCGUAGGCGGGUUGAAAAGUCAGGUGUGAAAGCCUACAGCUUAACUGUAGAACUGCACUUGAAACUCUCAAUCUAGAGUAUGGGAGGGGCAGAUGGAAUUAGUGGUGUAGGGGUAAAAUCCGUAGAUAUCACUAGGAAUACCUAAAGCGAAGGCGAUCUGCUGGAACAUUACUGACGCUAAGGCGUGAAAGCGUGGGGAGCAAACAGGAUUAGAUACCCGCGUAGUC
rnacentral:rRNA from 1 species